rnacentral:rRNA from 1 species
AGGACGAACGCUGGCGGCGUGCUUAACACAUGCAAGUCGAGCGGAAAGGCCCUUCGGGGUACUCGAGCGGCGAACGGGUGGGUAACACGUGAGCAACCUGCCCUUAGCUCUGGGAUAGCUCCGGGAAACCGGAAUUAAAUACCGGAUAUUACACCGGCUGACAUCGGCUGGUGUGGAAAGAUUUAUCGGCUAAGGAUGGACUCGCGGUCUAUCAGCUUGUUGGUGGGGUAGUGGCCUACCAAGGCGACGACGGGUA